AUGAAGCUGAACAUCUCCUUCCCAGCCACUGGCUGCCAGAAACUCAUUGAAAUGGAUGAUGAAUGCAAACUUCGUACUUUUUAUGAGAAACGUACGGCCACAAAAGUUGCUGCUGACACACUGGGUGAAGAAUGGAAGGGUUAUGUGGUCCGAAUCAGUGGUGGGAACGACAAAUAAGGUUUCCCCAUGAAGCAGGGUGUCUUGACCCAUGGCCAUGUCCACCUGCUACUGAGUAAGGGGCAUUCCUGUUACAGACCAAGGAGAACUGGAGAAAGGAAGGGAAAAUCAGUUCAUGGUUGCAUUGUGGUUGCCAAUCUGAGCAUUCUCAACUUGGUUAUUGUAAAAAAAGGAGAGAAGGAUAUUCCUGGACUGACUGAUACUAUGGUGCCUCAUCACCUGGGACCCAAAAGAGCUAGCAGAAUCCAUAAACUUUUCAAUCUCUCUAAAGAAAGCCCUUAAAGAAGGUAAGAAACCUAGGACCAAAGCACCCAAGAUUCAGCGUCUUGUUACUCCAUGUGUCCUGCAGCACAAACGGCGGUGUAUUGCUCUGAAGAAGCAGCAUACUAAGAAAAAUAAGGAAGACGCUGCAGAAUAUGCUAAGCUUUUGGCAAGAGAAUGAAGGAGGCUAAGGAAAAGCGCCAGGAACAAAUUGUGAAGAGACGCAGACUUUCCUCUCUGCGAGCUUCUACUUCUAAGUGAGUAAAAAAUAAAU
rnacentral:lncRNA from 1 species